CACGUAGGGGGCAAGCGUUGUCCGGAUUUAUUGGGCGUAAAGAGCUCGUAGGCGGUUCGGCAAGUCGGGUGUGAAACCCCCAGCUCAACCUGGGGACGCCACCCGAUACUGCUGUGACUUGAGUCCGGUAGGGGAGCGUGGAAUUCCUGGUGUAGCGGUGAAAUGCGUAGAUAUCGGGAGGAACACCAGUGGCGAAGGCGACUUCCUGGCCUGUUCGUUGACGCUGAGGCGCGAAAGCUGGGGGAGCAAACGGG
rnacentral:rRNA from 1 species